GGGACUGUGGUUGGCCUCAGGCCACGGCUAUGGGCACUCAGUGGCCAUGGUCUGUGGCUGGGGUCAGAAGUUAUCUUGACACAGUGCCACCUGCUCUGGAAGAAGACUCAGCCAGGCUCCAUGCACUGUACUUACACAGCCCCCAAGCGCACACAUAACCCCACAGCCCGAGUCACGAAGAGUCAUCUCUGGCUUUCUUAGAAGCUAUGCAUUUGUUGAUCAAAAGGUGGCUAGGAAGAAGCUGGGCAUCUAGUUAUGUCUCAGUCACUGCUCUGAGUGACUGAGCUCUGAGAAAGCUCUGAGGCUUUCUGGUUAUUUUUUGAAGAAUUGGGGGGUAGGGUGAGGUUAGAGCAUAAUCAUGGGUAAAAAGACUUCCGCCCUGCGGCAUGUGGGGACUCAACCAAACAGCCUGAACUUGGGCCUCUAGCCACUGUUGCUCCUAGUACCAAGGGGAAACUUGCAAGGCCCACUGCCUCCCCGCCCCACAGCUCCCAGCCCCCUCACCUCUCCUGGCUUGAUAUCCUCCAAGGCAGUGACAUGCAAAAGGAAGUUGUUUUCUGGGAAGGAGGUCUCUGCAUUGGGGACACAGCUGUGGUUACCUGGGUCAUGAGAGGCAAGUCAUAAGGACUGCUGACUAACAAAAAUAACAGCCUGGCAGAGCUCCCAUCCUUCCUUGUUCUCUCAUCACUGCUACAGCUGUGCAGGUCUUGGCACCCAAGUUUCCCAACUCCCUGUCCAGUGCUCUUUCCUGAAGACCCCAGAGCACAGGCACAAAUGCACUCCCACUUCACACCCCCUCCCACCUGCAAUCGCUGCCCCUGCUGUCCUCAGCACUGGGCAGCUUGAUUCUCAGUUGUUUCCAGUAUCCUGCAGAGGGAGGAACAGGGCUGUGAAAGGAACACCUGCCCAGGCCGGACCACUUAACUCAGUCCUGUCUGCUACUGGGCAUCUGGGAACAGCUGAGCCAGGCCCUCUGCAAGCCUAGUCUGGGGGGCAGAGUGGCCCCAUGGCCUAGGAGGGGGGCUCACAGUGAGGAAACCCAGGGGGAGAGGCUGAGAUCUGGAAAAGACAAUUGUGUGAGCUGGCUUUGCCCCUCUCUGUCAGGGGCUAUUGAGCCUUGGCUUCCAGCCUGAGCUCCCUCCCAGGAACCUGAGGACCUCCCAGGCUCUCACAACACUCCCUCCCACCCCCCCAAACCUGGCAGGGCAGUGGCGGUGCGAAACCGAGUCUUCCAUUUGCAAGAAUCAGAACUCUUGCGUCCUGCCUUAGCACAGGGCCUGGCCCACUGGGAGGUUUUAUAUAUACACAUAUAUUAAGUCCAGCGUAUGAAUGAAUGAGAAAAUGAUGGAACGAAAAGGCCCAGGAGAAUCCCCAAGGAAACUCAGACCUAAUCCUGCUCUCAGACUCCUCUCCACCAGCCUACUGGGGCCACCCCUCCUCAAUGCCGGGACUCACAGCAGCUCUGAAGCACAAAGAGGCCAGAUCCUUCACAGUUAAGAAACUCGCCAGUGGCUGUAAGACAGUAAUAUGCAGAUGUUAUUCUACCCAUUUUACUGGGGGGAAAAGAAACUAGGCUUGUGAGGACAGGCACUGGCUCCACUGUCUUACCACCUGGCCACUACCAAUUCAUCUGAACUUGCUUCUUGGAGGCACGAGCUUUUCUGUAAACGGUAUCACCUUACUUGUCCAGCACCCCCCACCCCCAGCAUCGAGCCUCUGUAUGGAUCUGAGAGUCAUGGCUUAUCUAUGUGUCCUACAGAUGGAUCUGAAGAUUCCCAUAGGCACACAGAGGUUAUCUUCCCCAACCAUUCGGUCAGAACUCCCUCAGGGGAAGGCUGUGUGUCUGACUGCGGGGCAUCUGAGGUUGGGUGAGACCAAGGCUCCAUCUCACCAACCUGCCUCGAUGUCCUUGUACAGCUGGUCAAUGAAGGCGUCCAGCUGCUCUCGGUCCUGAGGCUUCAGCUCCAGAGCAUCACAGGCAUGGACCCACUGGCUCAGGGAGCUGGGGGUCCCAGGCAUCCAUGGUUGGAGAGGAGCAGGCCCAGCUCACAGGGCUCUCCACCUCUACAACUGGGAGAAGAGCCUGAUCCAACGAUCUUUAUCCUUGGCCUGCAGUGAACAAAUAUACUUCAGAGUCACAUUC